rnacentral:misc_RNA from 1 species
GAUGAAAACGUAGCAAAAUGCGAUAAGUAAUGUGAAUUGCAAAUUCAGUGAAUCAUCGAGUCUUUGAACGCACAUUGCGCCCCCUGGUAUUCCGGGGGGCAUGCCUGUCCGAGCGUCAUUGCUGCCCUCAAGCACGGCUUGUGUGUUGGGCCCCGUCCUCCGAUCCCGGGGGACGGGCCCGAAAGGCAGCGGCGGCACCGCGUCCGGUCCUCGAGCGUAUGGGGCUUUGUCACCCGCUCUGUAGGCCCGGCCGGCGCUUGCCGAUCAACCCAAAUUUUUAUCCAGGUUGACCUCGGAUCAGGUAGGGAUACCCGCUGAACUUAAGCAUAUCAAUAAGCGGAGGA